rnacentral:tRNA from 1 species
GCUGGAGUGGCGGAAUUGGCAGACGCACGGGACUCAAAAUCCCGCGUUCUUCACUGAGCAUGUGGGUUCGACCCCCACCUCCAGCA